rnacentral:rRNA from 1 species
CAACCCUUGACAUCCUGUGCUACAUCCAGAGAUGGAUGGUUCCCUUCGGGGACGCAGUGACAGGUGCUGCAUGGCUGUCGUCAGCUCGUGUCGUGAGAUGUUCGGUUAAGUCCGGCAACGAGCGCAACCCACAUCCUUAGUUGCCAGCAGUUCGGCUGGGCACUCUAGGGAAACUGCCCGUGAUAAGCGGGAGGAAGGUGUGGAUGACGUCAAGUCCUCAUGGCCCUUACGGGUUGGGCUACACACGUGCUACAAUGGUAGUGACAAUGGGUUAAUCCCAAAAAGCUAUCUCAGUUCGGAUUGGGGUCUGCAACUCGACCCCAUGAAGUCGGAAUCGCUAGUAAUCGCGUAACAGCAUGACGCGGUGAAUACGUUCCCGGGUCUGUACACACCCGAAUCUAGAGCAUCGGAGCCGG